GAUGAACGCUGGCGGCGUGCCUAAUACAUGCAAGUCGAGCGAACAGAUGAGGAGCUUGCUCCUCUGACGUUAGCGGCGGACGGGUGAGUAACACGUGGAUAACCUACCUAUAAGACUGGGAUAACUUCGGGAAACCGGAGCUAAUACCGGAUAAUAUAUUGAACCGCAUGGUUCAAUAGUGAAAGACGGUGUUGCGGUCACGUAUAGAUGGAUCCGCGCCGGAUUAGCUAGUUGGUAAGGUAAAGGCUUACCAAGGCAACGAUGCGUAGCCGACCUGAGAGGGUGAUCGGCCACACUGGAACUGAGACACGGUCCAGACUCCUACGGGAGGCAGCAGUCGGCAAUCUUCCGCAAUGGGCGAAAGCCUGACGGAGCAACGCCGCGUGAGUUAUGACGGUCUUCGGAUCGUAAAGCUCUGUUAUUAGGGAAGAACAAAUGUGUCAGUAACUAUGCACGUCUUGACGGUACCUAAUCAGAAAGCCACGGCUAACUACGUG
rnacentral:rRNA from 1 species